GCUGCGCUAAGCGCUCUAGGUGGGCUGUAACGCCCUCUGCACACUCUCGCUAUCACUGGCCAGUUGUGCACUCGGGGGAACGGGGCGGAAAGUUUAAUAACGUGCUCGUGGUCACACAGACGAACUCGUACGGGUCCCCAUGUCUCUGAGGCUGGCCAGGGCCAAGAGCUAGCAGUGAGAGUGGAUGCUUUGUGAGACACCCCUCAUGGCCCACGAAGUCUGCACCAUCUAUGGAACCAUCCUGUGGAGAGCCGGCUCCCUGUCAGCGGAUGUCACACACAGCGGGCUGUUCGAGAGUGACGUCGGAACUCACACAGGAAGCAGAAGAGAGUGGCAAAGAGAAGCAGCAUGUUUGCUCUCAGGUCAAGACUAAGCGUUUUCCUUUGAAACGGCCCCAUGGUGUGCGAGAACUGGCCAGAGACUUCCAUGUGAAGCUGACAGUACUUGAAACCAGUUACUAAACAAGAUUUGUUUUCUGGUCCCAUGUGACUCUGGGGUAGGCGACCUUUGCAAAAUGAUGGGCAUCAUCUCUAUUUAAGGCCCAAUGUGGUGAUGGCACCACUAUAUAAAGCGUUGUGAAUUUAAAAGCUUCCAAAUUAAACUAGGCCUAGUAAAUAGAAUUGUAACAAUGGCAACAGUGAUAAUCAUAAAACUUUGUAUUUUGA